rfam:Myotis lucifugus cont2.61226, whole genome shotgun sequence.
CUUGGGGGGGGGUGUCCCUCAGCUCGGAUUGCGAGAGGGCGCAGGCCAGGCCGAGGGACCCCACCGGUGCACA